rnacentral:rRNA from 1 species
AUUGAACGCUGGCGGCAUGCCUUACACAUGCAAGUCGAACGGUAACAGGUCUUCGGAUGCUGACGAGUGGCGAACGGGCGAGUAAUACAUCGGAACGUGCCUAGUAGUGGGGGAUAACUACUCGAAAGAGUGGCUAAUACCGCAUGAGAUCUACGGAUGAAAGCAGGGGAUCGCAAGACCUUGUGCUACUAGAGCUGCCGGUGGCAGAUUAGGUAGUUGGUGGGAUAAAAGCUUACCAAGCCGACGAUCUGUAGCUGGUCUGAGAGGACGAUCAGCCACACUGGGACUGAGACACGGCCCAGACUCCUACGGGAGGCAGCAGUGGGGAAUUUUGGACAAUGGGCGCAAGCCUGAUCCAGCAAUGCCGCGUGCAGGAUGAAGGCCUUCGGGUUGUAAACUGCUUUUGUACGGAACGAAAAGCCCUGGGUUAAUACCCUGGGGUCAUGACGGUACCGUAAGAAUAAGCACCGGCUAACUACGUGCCAGCCGCCGCGGUAA